UACGAAGGGGGCUAGCGUUGCUCGGAAUCACUGGGCGUAAAGGGUGCGUAGGCGGGGCUUUAAGUCAGGGGUGAAAUCCUGGAGCUCAACUCCAGAACUGCCUUUGAUACUGAAGAUCUUGAGUCCGGGAGAGGUGAGUGGAACUGCGAGUGUAGAGGUGAAAUUCGUAGAUAUUCGCAAGAACACCAGUGGCGAAGGCGGCUCACUGGCCCGGUACUGACGCUGAGGCACGAAGGCGUGGGGAGCAAACAGG
rnacentral:rRNA from 1 species